GAGUGCAGUCGCCGCCUGUCCCGAGACCUGGGCGUCUGUGCAGGGGCCCCCAGCUCCUGAGCCUGGGUCAGCGGCAGCGCUCCUGGACGAAGGCCUCAGGCUGAGCACCUGAGGAGGCGUGGGGGCGGGGGCGGGGAGAUACGGUCCAGCGUCCCAAUCUACCCGCGUCCACGGGAGUAGCAAGGGCACCCACGUUCCCUUGUCCCGCCGGGAACUUCCGUGCGACUGUUGUUUAAAAAUGAGGAAAGCUUUUUAUCAGUUUCUCGUGUUUCUGCUGCUUAGCCUGGCAGGCUCUCACGAACGAAACCCUGUUAAUUAAUGGUCGUUAAUUACACUCCAUUCCACAAACACUGAACUUAAUUACGGAUUUCCAGAAAGCCAGCAUAGCCUCUUGCAAGUGAGGUAUGUAAAGCUUAACUUAGUAGUCAAAGAAAGGAUUCGCAGGGCAAAGAAUUGGCAGUGAUCGUUUUAAAUCAAGUCAGAAUAAUCGAAGCCUUAUUCCCAGUUUGUUAGCUGCGGUUGUAUGAUUUAGAAACACUGAUUUGUUGAUUUAGGAUGUUUGGAUAGACAUAAUUUCAGAGCUGGAAGAAGGACCGCACACCGGUGAAAUAAGGCCCCGCGUGCUUGUUUGCCACUGGUGUGUUUCAUCAAGCCUUGACAACACUGGACUGAGAGAGAGGGCCUUGAGGACAGGAACCUUGACCUUUUUCUUAGUGUUCUUAUUUCUAGCACCUUGCCAAGCAGAUAGUAGUCGAUCAAUAAAAUGUCCAAUCAGUGAAUGAAUAGCAGACGAAAUGAGCAAAGUGCCCAGAGAAGUGACUCUUCCAUAUUUCAAGUGUUUCAUGUGCUACAGAAUCUGUUGAACAAGGUGAAGUUUAAGUGCAUUGUGUGGACUUACAACUUACAAGAAAUGAAGAUCUUCUUGACAAAUAU
rnacentral:lncRNA from 1 species